rnacentral:rRNA from 1 species
AACGUACGCUGGCGGCACGCCUAACACAUGCAAGUCGAACGAAGUAUCAAUACUUAGUGGCAGACGGGUGAGUAACAUGUAGGUAUCUGCCCUUUGGCCCGGAAUAACACGAGGAAACUUGUGCUAAUACCGGAUAAGUCUUUACGGAGAAAGGAUUAUGCACCAUUGGAUGAGCCUGCACUUGAUUAGUUUGUUGGUGGGGUAAUGGCCUACCAAGACUGUGAUCAAUAGCUGAUUUGAGAGGAUGAUCAGCCACACUGGGACUGAGACACGGCCCAGACUCCUACGGGAGGCAGCAGUGGGGAAUCUUGCACAAUGGAGGAAACUCUGAUGCAGCGAUGCCGCGUGAGUGAAGAAGGCCUUAGGGUUGUAAAGCUCUUUCGUCGGGGAAGAAAAUGACUGUACCCGAAUAAGAAGGUCCGGCUAACUUCGUGCCAGCAGCCGCGGUAAUACGGAGGGACCUAGCGUUGUUCGGAAUUACUGGGCGUAAAGAGUUCGUAGGCGGUUGAAAAAGUUAGAGGUGAAAUCCCAGAGCUUAACUCCGGAACUGCCUUUAAAACUUUUCAGCUAGAGUAUGAGAGAGGAAAGCAGAAUUUCUAGUGUAGAGGUGAAAUUCGUAGAUAUUAGAAAGAACACCAAUGGCGAAGGCAGCUCUCUGGAUCAUUACUGA